rnacentral:lncRNA from 1 species
GGACUUCCUGACAAGGGGGAUUUGGAGCAGAGGCUGUCCUAUUGGCCACGCAGAGCCCUGGAGUCAGGGGGCAGCCUCUGUGGCAGGGAGGGGGCCUGCAGGGGCUUGAGAGCUGCAUCCAGACGGUCCCAGGGCCUGACAGCCAUCCGUACCGGAGAGCUCGGAGGAGACCCCAGAUUCCAGCUAGAGGAGGCCCUGCAGCUGCCCUGCUCCUUGAACCUGGACUCCUGACCACGGGACCUGCAUACACUCCAGGGGAUGCUGACAGGACCUCACAGGGUAUCGCCCUGCUUGGAACUAGGAUUUGGGUUUUGUACCAUCCCACGAGCCACCACUGUGAGUCUCAGAGAGAAGAAAUCAUCUACAGAGACCUUUUUUCUAGCAGACAGCUCCUCUUGUUGUGUAACAGUUUGGUAUCGUCAGUGGAGGAUCCACUUUUCAGCAAAUGCGCACAAACGCAUUCCGUCCAUACGGGCCCUGGCUGGCCAUGCUCUGCAGGGCGUGGGUGGGCGUCUGCCUCAGUUUCCCCGUCUGUGACCCCAGGUGCCCUGCCUCACACCAUCACUGGGAGGAGUCCACAGGUUUCUACACGUGAAGUACUUGGAACAGCGACUGGCAGGUAACUCGGCACGUUUAUUGUUAUUAUUGCUAUUUUCAACAAAACCACAACCCGCCUCAGCCCCUCUGCUCUGAGAGUCUGUGGAGGUCGGCUGUAUCCGGGGCAGAGGGCCUUGAACCAGAGAGGUUGGCCUUGGGUCAGACUUGACUCGUG